GAUAGCAACUUUGAGUUCAGCUAAAUAAAACCCAGAACAACACUUAAAACAAGAAGUUAUACCUGUACGUUUUAUAGAACAUCACUCAUUAAAACACUAGAGAACAGAACAAUCAAUUAAAUCAUUAUCGACUUGUUAACAAAAACCAAUAUCCUUGUUAUGAAUUAUUAACAUAUCAUACAAUUAAAAUUGUUAACAAAAUUUAAUAUAAUAAGAUCACGUAACACAUUAGUUAAUGCAAUGUAUGCUUAUAUAAGUCCCACCAAUAGACAAGUCACCAUUAAAUUGAUUUGAAAUACUUGACCGUUAAAGGUUGAAAUUAUGAAGUACACUGUAGCCCUAACGUUAUUUUCUAUGGUUUGCCUAAAAAGUUUGGUUUCUACAAAUGAAAAGCAGGAUUUAGCUACGUACCUAAUAGGAAUUCUUGAGGGAUGUAAAACGAAAUUGAAUACUCCUGAUAAACUUAUACACCAAAUAAUUACUGGUAAUUUUUAUCGAAUGGAUGUCACUCAGCUCGCUAGGUGUCAGGUCAAUUGUAUGAUGAAAGAAUUUGGUGUUCUGAAAGGUGGAGACCAAAAUGUAUUUGAAGUUUUUAAACGCUAUCUUAAGGAAGGAGCCAGAUAUCUUUUGGAAAGAUGUCAGCAGAAGACAUAUGAUGAUGAAUGUGAGGCAGGCUAUAGAGUUUUUUUGUGUUUACACUAUCAUUCUGAUAAAGUGUUCGAAAUAAAAGAAUAAUGAAUAUAUACUCGUAGCUGUGGACAGCUAAUAAUA